UACAGGGGGUGCAAACGUUGCUCGGAAUUAUUGGGCGUAAAGCGCGCGUAGGCGGCUACUUAAGUCCGAUGUGAAAGCCCCUGGCUCAACUGGGGAAGUGCACCCGAAACUGAGCAGCUAGAGUACGAAAGAGGGUCGCGGAAUUCCCGGUGUAGAGGUGAAAUGCGUAGAUAUCUGGAGGAACACCGGUGGCGAAGGCGGCAUCCUGGACCGGUAUUGACGCUGAGGCGCGAAAGCUAGGGGAGCAAACGGG
rnacentral:rRNA from 1 species